GACGAACGCUGGCGGCGUGCUUAACACAUGCAAGUCGAACGGUGAAGCGCCUUCCUUUUUGGUGGGUGUGGAUGAGUGGCGAACGGGUGAGUAACACGUGAGUAACCUGCCCCCUUCUUCUGGAUAACCGCAUGAAAGUGUGGCUAAUACGGGAUAUUCUGGGUCUGUCGCAUGAUGGGUCUGGGAAAGAUAUUGUUUCGGUGGGGGAUGGGCUCGCGGCCUAUCAGCUUGUUGGUGGGGUGAUGGCCUACCAAGGCGGUGACGGGUAGCCGGCCUGAGAGGGUGGACGGUCACACUGGGGCUGAGACGCGGCCCAGACUCGUACGAGAGGCAGCAGUGGGGAAUAUUGCACAAUGGGCGCGAGCCUGAUGCAGCGACGCCGCGUGAGGGAUGGAGGCCUUCGGGUUGUGAACCUCUUUCGCCAGUGAAGCAGGCCUGCCUCGUUUGUGGGUGGGUUGACGGUAGCUGGAUAAGAAGCGCCGGCUAACUACGUG
rnacentral:rRNA from 1 species